UAGUAACAUUUUGCACAAAAGUCAAAAUAAAAUUUAAAAUUUCUCUCAGCUGUAUUUCGAUGCUUAAUUUUAGGCCAUCCCAAAGCAGUAAUGUCAUCAUCUGCGUUUUUACUUCUUAUACUAUUUCUUUUUGGAACCAAUCCGCUCAGGAUGCAUAUGGGUGGCUGUCAGGACUGGAUGCUUUUUAGGAUCGUUCUCUUUCUGCUGGACCGAAUAUAUAUAUAUAUACCGAAAAUUAUUUGAUAUGCAAAAACUAUUGUUUAGGUGUCCAGAGAGAAGAAUGUGUAUAAUAACCCAAUGAAUAUAUAACAAGUUUUCCCGACUAUCUUUUCAAAGUAGUAUCACGCGAUGAACGAGCAUAUUCUUGGCCCAAUCUGCAUACUGGUAGCUAAAUCCGAUAUAUAAGACAUACUAAGCCCGACUAACUACACAUACAUAAGGUGUAAGUCGGACUAAGCCGCCAUAUGGGUAUGCAAAUGCUGCGGCUGUCCUUGAAGAAUCAUCGUUGAGACAUUUGAUACAAUACAAACUCAGAGACAAACUGCUGUAUUUUAUGACAUCCAGCAGCCGAAAAUCACUUGGCUGGGUUCUAUUGUAACCUGUUUUUGGAAUUAAUUCACAUUUCGGCUUGCGUCAAGAGCAGAAUCGGUUAUAUCUAACAUCGGGUGGUGAUAUCAAUCUUUAUAGUUCAUACAAAGUUAGUUGGCCCGCCCGCAGAAAGAAACCGAAAGGCUAAGAAACCAACUCUUGGUUUCAAUGGAUCCCCAGUCAUCAUCUUGGGAUCGGUUCGGUUAAAGUUAACUUCUUUUUUAAUGCCUUCCAGCUGCGUGUGUAGUUGGCAACUGAAAAUAAGAGUGAUUCGUUAACAGCUCUAAUCGGUGUGUGUAGUUUCAUGUGUAGUUUGUUUUUACUAUUCCGAUGGCACUGCCAUAUCAUCGGCUUAAACUCGUUUGGCGCGUCUGAUGAAUAUCCAACUGCUGCCGCCUUAAUUGUUAUUAAUCUGUUACUCUUUAAUGGCAUAAUUAAAUAAAAAUAAAACGCCAAUAUGUAAAGCAGGCCCACGCCUCCCAGUUGCGAGUUGAGGCGCAGACAUGCUCAUGACCACUGUCCAUCAAAACCGCAAUCUACAUACAAUGAUCGAUCUGCAGAUCGAAAACUAGUUUGCUGAAAUAAAAUAUAUAUUUUGGAAAACGAAGCAACAUCGGGUAGAAUAGCCGAACAC
ensembl:ncRNA lncRNA:CR44305 long non-coding RNA:CR44305